rnacentral:lncRNA from 1 species
CUUGACUCCAGCCCAAGCUCUUUCUCUCUUUUCUCUAAGGCGGGAACCUAGGGCACUGGCUCUACACAUGUGGCGGUCCUGCCUAAGUCACUUUUGGAAGCAUCUGUUCCGGACUGGUCUUUCUGGCCCCCAGACCUUGACUUUCUGGAUCUUUGGGACCCUGCCCGGCAGGAUGGACUUUAUGUGUCUGGGGCAGUGGGAGGGCAGAAACCCAGAGUCAGCAGUGAUUGCUUUUUUAAGUAACCUGGAUGAAAAUCCUGAGAGGACCAGCUUUUGAUCCUGCAGAACAGGCCUGGGUUCUGCAAACAGCCUGACCCCCGAGGGGCUCCUAAGUCUCCACCAGGACUUCUGCCCAGCAGUUCCAGACCAUCAUCUACAGCUGACCAGCUCUCUUGUCUCUGAAAGCCCAGGGCUGCCUCUGGGGGAGCAGGCUUUAGGCAUUUCUUUUUUCUUUCUUUUUUUUUAGGUCCGCACCUGCAGCAUAUGGAAGGCCUACCACAGCCACAGCAACUCCAGAUCUGAGCCUUGUCUGUGACCUACGUUGCAACUCGAAGCAAUGCUGGAUCCUUAACCCACUGAGCAGGGCCAAGGAUCGAACCCAACCUCAGAGCCUGGCUGUCAGUUUGACCUGUUGGAUGGAGGAAUGCCUGACCGAAUGCGGAAUGAACUUGUGCUCACGAAGGUUAAAUGAGAUACCAUGAAAUCUCUGGGAACAGAAUCUAUUCCUCGGGGAAGGAACGUGAGGAAGGUUGAUUGGCAUGAAAUCAUUAUCAAGUGGGACCAUCAGCAGAAGCGAGGCACAGGCAAAACUGGUAACUCCAGGAAACACUCAAUUUUCCGUCGGCUGUCUAUCCUUCCUCGGCUCUUCUGGCUUUUGCUGCAACGUGGACAUCCUGAAGCAUGUUCUGCCUCUUUUAGGACUGCAAAAAAAAAAAAAAAAAAAAAAAAAAAAAAAAAGGAGAAAAAAAAUGAAAUAAGAAGGUGAUGGGCAUCUCCAGUCAAGGCCUAUAAAACCCCUCCGUUCUCCGGAGUCCACGGGAAAAGUGUCACAACCUGUAGGCUUGUUCCUGUCCCCAUCCCAGAGACAGUCGCUUGUUGGUUUUAACUGGAAAAAUAAACAUUUGAAAA